UACGUAGGUGGCAAGCGUUGUCCGGAUUUAUUGGGUUUAAAGGGUGCGUAGGCGGCUUUGUAAGUCAGUGGUGAAAUAUGGCAGCUCAACUGUCAAGGUGCCAUUGAUACUGCGGAGCUUGAGUACAGAUGAGGUAGGCGGAAUUGACGGUGUAGCGGUGAAAUGCUUAGAUAUCGUCAAGAACACCGAUAGCGAAGGCAGCUUACUAGGCUGUAACUGACGCUGAGGCACGAAAGCGUGGGGAGCGAACAGG
rnacentral:rRNA from 1 species